UACAGAGGUCCCAAGCGUUGUUCGGAUUUACUGGGCGUAAAGGGUGCGUAGGUGGCGGGGUAAGUCUGGUGUGAAAUCUCCGAGCUCAACUCGGAAAAGCAUUGGAAACUAUCCCGCUAGAGGGUCGGAGGGGAGACUGGAAUUCUCGGUGUAGCAGUGAAAUGCGUAGAUAUCGAGAGGAACACCAGUGGCGAAGGCGAGUCUCUGGACGACUCCUGACACUGAGGCACGAAAGCUAGGGGAGCAAACAGG
rnacentral:rRNA from 1 species